rnacentral:rRNA from 1 species
ACCUUUUGCAUAAUGGGUCAGCGACUUACGUUUUGUGGCGAGCUUAACCGAGUAGGGGAGGCGUAGCGAAAGCGAGUUCGAAUAGAGCGAGAAGUCUCAAGGCGUAGACCCGAAACCAGAUGAGCUAUCCAUGGCCAGGUUGAAGGUGUGGUAACACACACUGGAGGACCGAACCGACUAGUGUUGCAAAAUUAGCGGAUGAGCUGUGGAUAGGGGUGAAAGGCUUAACAAAUCUGGAGAUAGCUGGUUCUCCCCGAAAACUAUUGAGGUAGUGCCUCGUGUAUUGCUCCAGGGGGUAGAGCACUGUUAUGGCUAGGGGGACAUGGCGUCUUACCAAACCAUGGCAAACUCCGAAUACUUGGAAGUAAGAGCACGGGAGACAGAGCACCGGGUGCUAACGUCCGGACUCAAGAGGGAAACAACCCAGACCGCCGUUUAAGGUCCCAAAUAUUGACUAAGUGGAAAACGAAGUGUGAAGGCUAAGACAGUCAGGAAGUUGGCUUAGAAGCAGCCAUCCUUCAAAGAAAGCGUAAUAGCUCACUGAUCGAGUCCUCAUGCGCGGAAGAUGUAACGGGGCUAAGUCAAUAACCGAAAGCGCGGAUUUGCACGAUAAGUGCAAGUGGUAGGGGAGCGUUCUGUAAGCCUGCGAAGGUGGUUCGAGAGGACUGCUGGAGGUAUCAGAAGUGCGAAUGCUGACAUGAGUAACGUUAAAGCGGGUGAAAAGCCCGCUCGCCGUAAGCCCAAGGUUUCCUGCUCUACGUUCAUCGGAGCAGGGUGAGUCGGCCCCUAAGGCCAGGCUGAGAAGCGUAGUCGAUGGGAAGCAGAUUAAUAUUUCUGCACCAUGUGCAAGUGCGAUGGGGGGACGGAGUGCGAAAGAUCAUCCGGGUGUUGGAUGUCCCGGUUUGUGAGUGUAGAAGGCCGACAGGCAAAUCCGUCGGCAGAUCUUCGAGACAAAGCAUCGAGGUUCUACGGAACCGAAGUGAUCGGAAGUGCUUCCAGGAAAAGCCUCUAAGCUCCAGCUUGCAUAUGACCGUACCGUAAACCGACACUGGUGGGCGAGUUGAAUAUACUCAGGCGCUUGAGAGAACUCGGGAGAAGGAACUCGGCAAAUUGACACCGUAACUUCGGGAUAAGGUGUGCCUUUGUAGCGUGAAGAGAGAAACACUCGGAGCGUGAAGAGGCCUCAGAGAAUCGGUGGCUGCAACUGUUUAUUAAAAACACAGCACUCUGCAAAGACGAAAGUCGACGUAUAGGGUGUGAUGCCUGCCCGGUGCUGGAAGAUUAAGUGAUGGGGUGAGAGCUCCUGAUCGAAGUCCCAGUAAACGGCGGCCGUAACUAUAACGGUCCUAAGGUAGCGAAAUUCCUUGUCGGGUAAGUUCCGACCUGCACGAAUGGCAUAAUGAUGGCCACACUGUCUCCUCCCGAGACUCAGUGAAGUUGAAAUGUUUGUGAUGAUGCAAUCUCCCCGCGGCUAGACGGAAAGACCCCAUGAACCUUUACUGUAGCUUUGCAUUGGACUUUGAACCGAUUUGUGUAGGAUAGGCGGGAGGCAGAGAAAGCGCAACGCCAGUUGUGCCGGAGCCG